GGUUAAGUUAGAAAGGGCGCACGGUGGAUGCCUUGACACUAGGAGUCGAUGAAGGACGGGACUAACGCCGAUAUGCUUCGGGGAGCUGUAAGUAAGCUUUGAUCCGAAGAUUUCCGAAUGGGGAAACCCACCAUACGUAAUGGUAUGGUAUCCUUACCUGAAUACAUAGGGUAAGGAAGACAGACCCAGGGAACUGAAACAUCUAAGUACCUGGAGGAAGAGAAAGCAAAUGCGAUUUCCUGAGUAGCGGCGAGCGAAACGGAACAUAGCCCAAACCAAGAGG
rnacentral:rRNA from 1 species